GACGAACGCUGGCGGCGUGGAUUAGGCAUGCAAGUCGAACGGUAUCAUCCUUUCGGGGGUGAGAGAGUGGCGAACUGGUGAGUAACACGUAGGUUAUCUACCCUCAAGACGGGGACAACCCAGGGAAACUUGGGCUAAUACCGGAUGUGAGCAACUUUUAGUUGUUUGAAAGGUGGCGUAAGCUGUCGCUUGGGGAUGAGCCUGCGUCCUAUUAGUUAGUUGGUGAGGUAACGGCUCACCUAGGCAAUGAUAGGUAGGCGGCCUUAACGGGUGGUCGCCCACACUGGGAUUGAGAUACGGCCCAGACUCCUACGGGAGGCAGCAGUCGAGAAUAGUCUACAAUGGUCGGAAGACUGAUAGUGCGACGCCGCGUGAACGAUGAAUCCCUUCGGGGUGUAAAGUUCUUUUAUAUGUGAGCAGUGCUUCUUAUAUUAACAGUAUGGGGAGAGAAGAUAUUAGCAUAUGAAUAAGCAACGGCUAACUCCGUGCCAGCAGCCGCGGUAAACUCGU
rnacentral:rRNA from 1 species